UUACUUUAUAGACUGAACAAUAUGUUGGGCUUUAUAAAGAAAUAUCAGCUGUGCCUGCUGUAACCUCUGCUGUUAUCUUGCCUAAAGCAAGCAACAAGAUACUGUUAUUACAUAGCACUUGGAGCUCUCAAGAUUUAGUUAAGCUUGAAAAGACUAGUUUCUCUCGUGAUUAUGUGUUUGACAGUGAAAAUUUUAAAAUUAUUUCUACAGGAAUACCUUAUGAUACAAAUUCUUUGGUGCAUCAGUCAUUUAGUAAAUCAGGAGAGAAGCAGGCUAUUAUAAGGGGAAAAAAGUCUUUAAAGAAUUCUAAUGAAUGUUAUGAUUUGGAGAUAUGGAAUGAGAGUAAAAAAGUAAACACAUUUGAGCUAACUGACAGAGAUGACCAUGGAAAAAUCAACACCAAUGCUUUUGGUUUUUUGGCUUGGAGUUCUGAUGAAAAUUUUAUCUUAUAUACAGCGGAAGCUAAGCAACCAAAGAGCUCAUCUUAUUUUAAAAUUCUUAACAAAACUACUGUAGAAGAUGAUACAAAAGAAAACAGAGUAAGAUUUCAGACUUUACCUUACC